AGCUGCAGACCGCGAUGAGGGCUGCCCUCAGCCUCCUCUGCUCCAGGCUGAACUCAGGAAAAACAUAAUCAAGUUGUGGAAACUUUCACCAAUGGAAGAUCUGAGGCAAGGUCAAAUAUAUAGAGGGCUCAGAGAUGCCAACACGUACAAACUGGGCAUAUACGCACACUGAAGUGAAGUGACCUUAUCGCUCUC